rnacentral:lncRNA from 1 species
UAUAGCAUGCAACACAUGGGUGGAUGUCCACCCUGCGCUAAAAAACUGUUUCGCGCCGCAGUACAACUCUUUGGAUGUUCCCUAAUUUGUCUACUCGUCCUUUUCUCCAGGGCGUCUACCUAUCUAUCUUUAUUCCUUUAGGCAGUUGUUCAUGUGUCAACUACUAGUGGAGUUUGUCAUCCUGUAGUUCAGCAUCCACAUGAUAUGCAGUGUAUGUGCCUAGAUGCCCAGGACCUACCAGUUAAAAAGGACUAGUUAGUACAGGGGUGGUAAUUGGUCUAACUAUUGGCCUAACUAUUUUGCCUAUAAAAUUUAAGGGUUGGGUUUAAAACGGGUUAAAAAUAAAAUUGUAUAGAGUUUUUAGCUAAAAUUUUUCUAAAAAUUAAAUAGGAUUGUGAAAGAACCCAUGGCUCGUUCCCACGCCUAGUUUGUACUAUCAAUAUUGCUAACCCAGCUUUGGAGGAGAGAAUAAAAGCAUACAGAUCAUGUGGCUUGCCUUGUCUCUGCCCCCAAGCAGUACCAAAAAAAAAAAAGAAGGAUGGUGAUUGAUUUCCUUCAAGAGAGAAAAAAGAGAGCUUUCAAGAACUCUUUCUAGUUGGGCAUCCCCACAUCACCUAUCAUUUUUUCGUUGGUGCCAACUAACUUUGGGUAGCCUCUGAAUUCUGGGAUUUUGACCGAUCUAAUAAAUGGUGCAAACAACAUAUAGUCUAGCUUUUUUUUUUUUUGGCUACAAUAGCAACCAAUCUUUGUCAUGGAACUAAUUAACCGAUCAAGCUCCUUUUACUGGGUAUUUGCAAUAUAAAUUGAAGGAAAUAAAUGGAGUCAAAAUGUUUGUUUACUCAUACCUGUUGCCGCAGCCAGGAACAGAACUGAACUGUGGCAGUCCUUCUUGUACCCAACAACUUUGGCAGACAUGGACACCAAUAUGACCUUGAAUUGACAAUGAUAGUUGCCCAACUGGACAAAAGUGGGAGAUUAAUAUAUGUGCAAUCGGGUGAAAACUCCCCAGAACAAUCAUGUCGUCGUCUAUUCAUGCUGAUACAGCUGAAGAUCCUGUCUGAGCAAGCCAACACCAAGCCAAACGCACACACCUGCUACAGUUCCUUCCUACUGCAAAUCUUGGGCUGAGCAAUUUCAAUUUGCCAUCACGUUUUCAGACAGUUGAUCAACUGGUGCCUUGCCAGGAACCGUCGCUGUAAAAAGGUCUUGAGCUAGCUGAAAAUAGGCAGUAGCAUUACCAGGCUUAAAGGAGAGCAACCCUGUCAUGAACCCCACCAAAGAUGCCCAUUAGUGUGUACUGAGAUCUCAUU